GACGUAGGGGGCGAGCGUUGUCCGGAUUUAUUGGGCGUAAAGCGCGCGUAGGCGGCUUUGCAAGUCGGGUGUGAAAUCCCCAGGCUUAACCUGGGAACUGCAUUCGAGACUGCAUUGCUAGAGUAUGGGAGAGGGAAGUGGAAUUUCCGGUGUAGCGGUGAAAUGCGUAGAUAUCGGAAGGAACAUCAGUGGCGAAAGCGACUUCCUGGACCAAUACUGACGCUCAUGUGCGAAAGCGUGGGGAGCAAACAGG
rnacentral:rRNA from 1 species